UUCUAAUUUGUACUUUUUAACAAACCUCCUUGGUAUGGUCUCUCCGGGACAGGAGCUUGGGAGGCAGUCCCGGAGGACUCCCGGUUUUCAUUGGUUCCUGAUGGUGUCGUUAAUAGGACUCUGUGGUCUCUGAUUGGCUCCUUAAAGCGAGGCUGCAAAUUUCCUCCACUGAUCGGCUCACGCUCCGCUCGGCGGGCAACUCGCGCUCCGACCCAUGAUUAUCCCGUUUCACCUAAUCCGAGGUUUACCCUCCGGAGUAGUCGUGACCCGCAUGGUUUCGCGUUACGAGCAUACAUCCUUGCUGGCCUCUAUCCCUGGUGGUCUCACAGCUAUCAUCAGCCUUGACCGCCUCGCUGCCCGUCCCCCUCCAUGGGUCUUUUCUUGAAACACUGGCAAGUCACCUGUAGAUUGCUGUGUACGUGGUAAUUCCACUCUCGCUGUGGGUGCUCCCAAAGGGAGUAGGACCGAGGUCUCUGGCCCAAGAAAGUUAAUCAAGACCUGGCAGCCCUCCUACACAGGUGCUCUCUUUUUCUCCUCCUCAUGGAGAGUCCCGUGAACCAACAGGUUGGAAGCCCCCGUGUAUUCGAUAGAAAUAUACAUUUUUUUUUUUUUUUUAGUGUUUCAUUGGACAUGCCUUUUAAAGCUGGAGAACUACAUGAAAACCCCGAAGGACUGGAACUCACUACUCCCAGAUCAAGAGUCACACGCUCCACGGACUGAGCCAGCCAGGCGCCCCCCAGUGGCUACUCUUAACAAAAAACCAUUAACCCACCAACUACAGAAGACAGUCUCAAAUGAUCAUCAUUGAAGAGAGAAGCCAUAUGGAGAAGCCCAAAGAAAGAGAACCCAGGCACCUCAGCUGAAUGCAGGGAGGUGUUGGAACCACCACCAUGAGGGGCAGAAGAACCGCCCAGUCAAAACCCAAAGAUUGUUCAAAAGAGCAAUUCCUCCAGCUGUGGUAUGGAGAGAGGAAGUGUGGGGAGCCAAGGAUCUAAGCCCCUUUGAGUAUUCAGACACCGACCAACUAAAGCCAGAGAAUUGACAAUAUUGACCGUUGCUGGCCUUCAUGAUUUUGACCUGAACUCUGUCCCCUUAAGAUGACUUUUGCCCCAAUUCCAUGCUGGAUUCCCCAUUGGGCAAGCUGAUUCAUGAACAGAUUGGAGCUGGAGCAGAGAAGGAGCCUGGAUGACAUGCCUGCGAGAGACCACCCGUCUCAGGGCCCCUGGAUGUGGUUCCUCAAGCAAAGAUUCCUUGGGCGUCAUGGACCAUCUGCCUCCUCUUAUGGAUGUCUUCAGCAUCAUCUCUCUCCCUCUCCCGCAGCAAGAGGGCUUG